GACGAACCGUGCGAACGUUGUUCGGAAUCACUGGGCUUAAAGGGCGCGUAGGCGGGCUAUCAAGUCUGGGGUGAAAUCCCACGGCUCAACCGUGGAACUGCCUUAGAUACUGACGGCCUUGAGGAAGGUAGGGGCAUGCGGAACUGUAGGUGGAGCGGUGAAAUGCGUUGAUAUCUACAGGAACUCCGGUGGCGAAAGCGGCGUGUUGGACCUUUUCUGACGCUGAGGCGCGAAAGCUAGGGGAGCAAACAGG
rnacentral:rRNA from 1 species